CUGUCCCAAAUUUCUUGUCUUAGAUUUGUCUAGAUACAGAUGUAUCUAAUACUAAAAUGUGACUUGAUACAUCCGUAUCUAGACAAAUCUAAGACAAGAAUUUUGGGACGGAGGGAGUACUUU
rnacentral:pre_miRNA from 1 species